GAAGAAGAGGAAAUCAGAAAGAUAACAUGACUUACUCAUGAUCACACAGUCACUGGGAUUGGAUCUUAGGUUUUCUAAGUCCAAGACUGGCACUUUGCAACUGAAAUACUUUUGGGAGGGUCAGCUUCAUAAGAGCAAAGAACAUGGCUUGUUAUUUCUGGGCUUUCCUUGGCUUGUAACUAGGAAGAGGGAGAAGGCCAAGUUGAAAUUUUCCUUGUGCUGAACUAAGUAAAACAUCAGCCAAAAUUCCAGCUAACAGUUUUUUCAAGGCAUAACUUCUGAACCAGAGUCUAAACAAAGUGAGUUAUGUUUUAUCCUCCUCUUUCUCCCUCAGGUCUUAUCACCUUUGAUCCUCCUUUAUUUCUUUACCUUGGGUACAUCUUUUUUUAAAAUAUUUAUUUCCCCCUUCUCCCGUUCUUCUCUCAAAACUCCUUUGAUAGCUUAUAAUGGAGCAGAAUGGGUAAGAGGUGGGAGGUGGGGGGAGAUGAAGUGCAGAAGACCUUUUACCUCUUCCCAAUAAAUAUGUAGAUUUCUGAGGGUGAUGCAUGUAUAACAUACCUUUACAAUUUAG
rnacentral:lncRNA from 1 species